rnacentral:rRNA from 1 species
CAGUCGCCGCGGGAAUACGAGGGGUGCAAGCGUUAUUCGGAUUGAUUGGGUGUAAAGGGUGUGCAGACGGCUUAUUAAGUCUGAUGUGAAAGCCCCCGGCUCAACCGGGGAGGGUCAUUGGAAACUGGGAAACUUGAGUGCAGAAGAGGAGAGUGGAAUUCCACGUGUAGCGGUGAAAUGCGUAGAGAUGUGGAGGAACACCAGUGGCGAAGGCGACUCUCUGGUCUGUAACUGACGCUGAGGAGCGAAAGCGUGGGGAGCGAACGGGAUUAGAUACCCGUGUAGUCCCUGUCUCUUAUAA